GUGUGUGGGUGUGUGUGUGUGUGUGUGUGUAUGUGUGUAUGUGAGUGUGUGUGUGUGUGUUGUCUACAAAACCGGGGCUUGUGUCUGUGUAAUGAAGUACGUGACCAAGAGAGAGCAGACAGCAUGUUCUCAGGCGCCACUUCAAAUGAGACGAGACCACAGCCUCCCAAGGCUUGCUAUCCUCGACUCAUUCCAAUGAGCCUCAUCUGUAGCUCUCCGGUGAGAUGACAACAUCAACAACAACAACAACAACAACAACGCACUGAUGACAUCUACUGGGGAGAAAGCACAGUACAGCCUCAAGAGGCUCACACUGCUGCGCACCCUUGUGUAGUCUGGGUGCUAAUAGGCCAGAGAGCUGCUUUUGUGGCUCAACAUUAGUCAGGAGGAGUGCAAAGCUUUCACAC